rnacentral:rRNA from 1 species
UACGAAGGGGGCUAGCGUUGCUCGGAAUCACUGGGCUUAAAGCGCACGUAGGCGGAUUGUUAAGUCAGGGGUGAAAUCCUGGAGCUCAACUCCAGAACUGCCUUUGAUACUGAAGAUCUUGAGUUCGGGAGAGGUGAGUGGAACUGCGAGUGUAGAGGUGAAAUUCGUAGAUAUUCGCAAGAACACCCGUGGCGAAGGCGGCUCUCUGGGACGGUAUUGACGCUGAGACGCGAAAGCGUGGGGAGCGAACAGG